rnacentral:rRNA from 1 species
GACGGAGGGUGCAAGCGUUGCUCGGAAUCACUGGGCGUAAAGGGUGCGUAGGCGGUCUCGCAAGUCUGGCGUGAAAGCCCAAGGCUCAGCCUUGGAAGUGCGCUCGAAACGGCGAGGCUGGAGUGCCGGAGGGGAGAGUGGAAUUCCUGGUGUAGCGGUGAAAUGCGCAGAUAUCAGGAGGAACACCGGUGGCGAAGGCGGAUCUCUGGGCCUUACCUGACGCUGAGGCGCGAAAGCUAGGGGAGCGAACAGG